AAGGAUUUAAGUUAACCCAAUAAAACUAACAGCCUUCAAAGCUGUAAAUAAAGGAAAGGAGCUUUAAGCCUUA
rnacentral:tRNA from 1 species